ACGUAGGUGGCAAGCGUUGUCCGGAAUUAUUGGGCGUAAAGGGCGCGCAGGCGGGAGGAUAAGUCUGCUUUAAAAGUGCUGGGCUCAACCCCGUGAUGGGGAAGAAACUAUAUUUCUUGAGUGCAGGAGGGGCAGGCGGAAUUCCCAGUGUAGCGGUGAAAUGCGUAGAUAUUGGGAGGAACACCAGUGGCGAAGGCGGCCUGCUGGACUGUAACUGACGCUGAGGCGCGAAAGCCAGGGGAGCAAACGG
rnacentral:rRNA from 1 species